rnacentral:rRNA from 1 species
UACGGAGGAUCCAAGCGUUAUCCGGAUUUAUUGGGUUUAAAGGGUGCGUAGGCGGCUUAUUAAGUCAGGGGUGAAAGACGGUGGCUCAACCAUCGCAGUGCCUUUGAUACUGAUGAGCUUGAAUGAACUAGAGGUAGGCGGAAUGUGACAAGUAGCGGUGAAAUGCAUAGAUAUGUCACAGAACACCGAUUGCGAAGGCAGCUUACUAUGGUUUUUUAUUGACGCUGAGGCACGAAAGCGUGGGGGGAUCAAACAGG